UAUUUGUAUAAACGGUUUUAUAUAUAAUGCCUUUCUCGACAGUUCUAGUUUCUUCAGAGCUCAAAUCCCUGCAAUUUUCUAGAAUACGAGAAAGAAACAUGAAGCCGAUGCAGAUGGAUUUCUUCGCGGACAUGGAGGAGCAGGGAUCUACAGUUGCGAUGGACGUGGAUGACGUUGAUCCACUGGAGAUCUUCGGCGAAGGUGUUAUCAACGUCGACAAUAAGCUUGCCGACGCCGAUUUCUUCAACAAUUUCGAGGACGAUUUCGAUGACUCCGAUAUCAAUUAAUCCUCUUUUAUUCCCUACCGCAACUGCCUAUAUACCUUUUCUUAUGUAUCUAUUGUGGGAAAUUUGAGGGGGAAAAAAGAGGAGAUACGGUAUGCAUGGAACGAUUUGUCGUUUGGGUGAUUAUAUACUUUAAUUGAAUUUGUAUGGAUGCAUUAUGCACUGUGUCUCAUGUGAAGCUAUUAUUGCCCUUGUUGCUCUUCCCGCUUUUUAGACGCCUGAAAAUAUAUGCUGGUUUUAAGUGGUUUCAGGGUCUAUCUGGCAUUUUACUGAAAUGCGACUUUAUUUAUUUGCUGAGGAAAUUUAGGUUCAAAAGAGAAGCAUAUCAGGUACACAUUAUUGGGAUUUUAUGUAUGGAUUUCUGUGUUUGUGGUGCAAUAAUCUCACUGCUGAUUGUACAGUGGGACGAUAAAUUAAAAUAUUAUAGAUGGUUUUAUAUGAG
rnacentral:misc_RNA from 1 species